GUUAAAAAGCUCGUAGUUGGAUUUUGGUUAAGAGGGCGCGGUCGGCCGUUUGGUCUGUACUGCGUUGUCUUGACUUCCUGAUGAGGACAUGCUCUUGGUUAACGCUGAGACAUGGAGUCAUCGUGGUUACUUUGAAAAAAUUAGAGUGUUCAAAGCGGGCUUACGCUUGAAUAUAUUAGCAUGGAAUAACACUAUAGGACUCCUGUCCUAUCUCGUUGGUCUCGGGAUGGGAGUAAUGAUUAAGAGGAACAGUUGGGGGCAUUCGUAUUUCAUUGUCAGAGGUGAAAUUCUUGGAUUUAUGAAAGACGAACUUCUGCGAAAGCAUUUGCCAAGGAUGUUUUCAUUAAUCAAGAACGAAAGUUGGGGGCUCGAAGAUGAUUAGAUACCAUCCUAGUCUCAACCAUAAACGAUGCCGACUAGGGAUUGGUGGAUGUUAAUUGAUGACUUCACCAGCACCUUAUGAGAAAUCAAAGUUUUUGGGUUCCGGGGGGAGUAUGGU
rnacentral:rRNA from 1 species